rnacentral:lncRNA from 1 species
UUCACCACCCUAAAGAGGGAGAUAAGAAGCUGAUGACAUUGGAUGUCCUUUUUGUCCUCAGACUAGUGCUUCAGCUGCAUCCCCAGCUUGCACUCUGAGCUGAAAAAAGCUGUGAUUUUCUACCUAAAUUGGUGCAGAAGCAGCACUACUAAUUAAUUUGCACAGAAGGUCUUGUUCACUUCAAUUCCGUGUGGUGGUAGAUUCAUGCAGGCAAAGAAGGAAGAGAAUGGGAAGCUCCUGUCUGUUGGAAAUAUCAGGAUCAGCCAAUACAAGAGUGCUCAGCAGGAUGAAACCAGGCAGGAGUUGUGCUGAUUCUGCUGUUGACAUUGCCUACAGGAUCCAAGCACUGGGACUGAUGAAGAAGAGGAUGAUGAGCACCAUUCUUUCCUCCACCAUAAAGUUGCAUGAAGUUAGAUGUCAUUGCUUAUCAAUGUAGACUUCUGAAAGCAGGAAGAAUAAUGAUGGGUGGUAUUUCGGGUGAAAACCUCCAUUCUUACUGAAAUGAGGCCGAGGAAGAAGGAAUUACAGCUCAAGAAAAGAAAACCAAAACAAACAAACAAACAAACAAACAAAACCUGACAACAAAUAUUCAGAGGGAGACAGGUUCCCUGCUGUUCCUGAAAUGUUCCGGGGACUGUCUCUUGGAAGACCU